GAUUCCUUCCUGGGUCCCACUGCUCCCUGGACCCGAGGCCCGAGCCCGCGCUGCGGCGCGGAGGCUUCUUGCCUCCUCCGCCGCCGGUGCCCCGAGCUUCGGCGCGACUGCGGCCGUGACCCCCGCCGCGCGUCGCUGCCCACUGCUCCUUGGCCCCUGCAGCAAGCCGCUCGAGGUUCCUGACGCCUUGAGGCCCGAGCCCACGCGGCGGCUUCUUGGCUCCUCCGCCGCCGCUGCCUCGAGCUCCGCGGUGACCGCGGCCGUGACCUCCGCCGCCGUUGUGGUAGCCAGCAGCCAUCUUCUUCAUACUCUCCAGAAUCGAAUCCCCAUUCCCUUUCCCCCCUAUCCCCUCCAUUGUUUCCCCAUCAGUGCUUCUUAUUUUUGUAACCCCUUUCGCUUGGUGAUGUGAAUAUUCAAUUUGUCAUUCUGCACAAACAAGUAGAAGCUGGAGAGUUGGAAUUGGCUUCUAGCAUCCAUGAAUUAGAGGCAAAGUUGCGUGAGCAGGGUUUGAUGAACAAAUUGAACAGGGUACCAACUUGUGUUAAUUUUCACCAAGACCAUGUACCAAAGAGGUCGCCUUAGCACUUCCCUACACGGCAAAAACCUGCAGCAUCAAAUUGUUUUUCAUCAGCACCCAACAAUGGUGGUAGAGUAUAACUCAUUUUGAAGUUGUCGAGGCAGUGCCAUUGGAAGUUGUGGUGCUGUGCAAUAGAAUGUUGAGCUGGGACAAGUUUCUGAUCAGUAGUAAAUUCAUGGCUGAAUUUGGUGCCAUUGGAAGUGCCAAAAUCUGACCAUUGGAAGUUCAUGCAGGCGGACCACUAGAUUAAUCCUGCUGAAUCAUUGUACCAACUAUACUGUUUAUGGCUGGGAAUUGUGGCGACAUCCCAGGAUUGUUGAUUGACCUCUUGGAGAUGAUCUUGCAUCAAUGUAGUAGCCAUGUUUUGCGCCCUUGCUGGUCAAAUAUUUGAUAUUUUGGCAUGUACUACUAAUCUUGUUAUGGACUUGUGUUCAGUGCAUUUGUUGUCUGGAUAUGGUUCGUACGCUGUAACCCUUGUAUAUUGAGCAUUUUCCCAUUUGAAACCAAUCUAAAUUAUGCCCAAAGAA